AUUGAACGCUGGCGGCAUGCCUAACACAUGCAAGUCGAACGGCAGCGCGGGUAGCAAUACCUGGCGGCGAGUGGCGGACGGGUGAGGAAUACAUCGGGAUCUACCCUGUUGUGGGGGAUAACCCAUCGAAAGGUGGGCUAAUACCGCAUAAGACGGAGACGUGAAAGCGGAGGACCGCAAGGCUUCGCGCGAUUGGAUGAACCGAUGUCCGAUUAGCUAGUUGGUAGGGUAAAGGCCUACCAAGGCAACGAUCGGUAGCUGGUCUGAGAGGACGAUCAGCCACACUGGGACUGAGACACGGCCCAGACUCCUACGGGUGGCAG
rnacentral:rRNA from 1 species